AUCCAUGGUUAAUGGGAAAAACUUAUACACUUCCAGAAGGAAUGACAGACUAGAUUUAAACUGAGGGAAGAGACACAGUCAUUGUACCCAGUGCUGUUCAAAAAUCACGAUGGCCACAAACUUUCCUAGUAUAAUCUAAAUGAAAUAACUGGUUUUACUAUUCUAUAAAAACAUAAAGUAAUCACACAGAGGAAAAAAUCACUUCAGAGAGCAACAGAGGACAGGAACUCCCAAAAAAGGAAAAUUAUUAGUUAAAAAAAAUUGAUGGAUCCUCAUACUUCUGCUCUGAUUUUGUGGAAUGUACGAGCGAACGUGAUGUUUUCCUGGGAAAAUUUGUACUGUUAUUUGUAUUUUCAAAUAUGAAAGGUUUGUUGAUGAUAGAAGAGGUAAAGCUGUAUAAUUUCAUAGAAUAGAAUCACAGAAUUGUUUGAAUUGGAAGGGACUCAAAGUCCCUUCUAGUCCAACUCCUUUGUAAUGAACAGAGAUAUCUAAGCUAGAUCAGAUUGCUCAGAGCCCUGUCCAGCCCGACCUUGACUGUCUCCAGGGAUGGGGCAUCCACCACAUCUCUGGGCAGUUUGUUCCAGUGCUUCAGUAAAAUUUCUCCAGUACACAUUCCUUUUCAUUCGAAAGCAGAUACAGUUUUACUCCGAAGUUGUUUAACUCAUAAUAAUGCCUUUUGAAUGUCUUCUGUGUUUGUCCUAGAAAUAAGAUGCUAUUUCUUAUCAUAUGGAAAUGUCACAAAUGCAAAUACCUGAAAAUAAGAUGUACUUUGGUGCAGAGGAAGAAGGAAUUACCUGAAUUUAAGUUGAUGCACAUGCUGAAAUUGAGUUAA
rnacentral:lncRNA from 1 species